rnacentral:lncRNA from 1 species
AUUAAAGAGACGUCCAGACAAGGAGGUGUAAGUACGACAACACUUAGAGGUGCAGUCUGGGGAGGGGCCAGGUGACAUUUACAUAGUUAAAUCACAGGAAUGAUUCGAAUAUACGAGCAGGCAGGAGGUGAGGGAAUAGAGAGAGCAGUUGUCGAGAGGAAAAGGAAAGAUGACCUUUGAACGGGAGAUGCAACCAAACCAGUAUUACUGUCAGUCUUUUUCUUUCAGAGUAUCCUGAGAUACGGUUGCAGGCUCUUGGCCCCGAGGUGAGUAGCCCUUUGAAUUGAAUGCAGCAAUUGCUAACAUCUACUCCCAGAGCUUAUACCACAUGCGCAGAUUAAUAACGCAGGGGACCGAUGAUCAUGCAGCUCUCCAGUUUCACAGAAUGCUCCGAGUGUUACAAUGAGGUUAUGCGGUAGCGGUGGAUGGACCCAUCGGCACAUUCUGCCAGCUAAGUCCGCCAGCAAAUAUCAAAUGUAUAUAUUAUUUCGGUACACUGUAUUGCCAGUAACCUGAAGCUUAUUUCAUAUGUUAUUAAUCAACGAUAAGCAAUUUAAUUUUCCAAAUGUCUCCAUUGUGCCCCAGCUGUGUCCAUUAACAGAUCACGAGGCAGGCAGGGGUAGCAGAGGUGAUCUGAACGGGCUGGGUGUUUCGCUCGCUCUCACAACCUCUGAAAGACGGCUCUGGCGAUCUGCAUUCCUUCAUCCCGUGAGGAGUCUGGCUGUGGAACGGAAGUGGCAUUCUUAA